UACGUAGGGUGCGAGCGUUAAUCGGAAUUACUGGGCGUAAAGCGCGCGUAGGUGGUUUGUUAAGUUGGAUGUGAAAUCCCCGGGCUCAACCUGGGAACUGCAUCCAAAACUGGCAAGCUAGAGUAUGGUAGAGGGUGGUGGAAUUUCCUGUGUAGCGGUGAAAUGCGUAGAUAUAGGAAGGAACACCAGUGGCGAAGGCGACCACCAGGACUGAUACUGACACUGAGGUGCGAAAGCGUGGGGAGCAAACAGG
rnacentral:rRNA from 1 species